rnacentral:rRNA from 1 species
AGAGUUUGAUCCUGGCUCAGGACGAACGCUGGCGGCGUGCUUAACACAUGCAAGUCGAGCGAUGAAGCUCCUUCGGGAGUGGAUUAGCGGCGGACGGGUGAGUAACACGUGGGUAACCUGCCUCAUAGAGGGGAAUAGCCUUUCGAAAGGAAGAUUAAUACCGCAUAAGAUUGUAGUACCGCAUGGUAUAGCAAUUAAAGGAGUAAUCCGCUAUGAGAUGGACCCGCGUCGCAUUAGCUAGUUGGUGAGGUAACUGCUCACCAAGGCGACGAUGCGUAGCCGACCUGAGAGGGUGAUCGGCCACAUUGGGACUGAGACACGGCCCAGACUCCUACGGGAGGCAGCAGUGGGGAAUAUUGCACAAUGGGGGAAACCCUGAUGCAGCAACGCCGCGUGAGUGAUGACGGUCUUCGGAUUGUAAAGCUCUGUCUUUAGGGACGAUAAUGACGGUACCUAAGGAGGAAGCCACGGCUAACUACGUGCCAGCAGCCGCGGUAAUACGUAGGUGGCAAGCGUUGUCCGGAUU